GACGAACGCUGGCGGCGUGCUUAACACAUGCAAGUCGAGCGAUGAAGUUCCCUUCGGGGAACGGAUUAGCGGCGGACGGGUGAGUAACACGUGGGUAACCUGCCCUAUAGAGAGGAAUAGCCUUCCGAAAGGAAGAUUAAUACCUCAUAAAAUCACAGUGCUGCAUGGCGCAAUGAUCAAAGGAGCUUGCUCCGCUAUAGGAUGGACCCGCGGCGCAUUAGCUAGUUGGUGAGGUAACGGCUCACCAAGGCGACGAUGCGUAGCCGACCUGAGAGGGUGAUCGGCCACAUUGGGACUGAGACACGGCCCAGACUCCUACGGGAGGCAGCAGUGGGGAAUAUUGCACAAUGGGGGAAACCCUGAUGCAGCAACGCCGCGUGAGUGAUGAAGGCCUUCGGGUUGUAAAGCUCUGUUUCCAGGGACGAUAAUGACGGUACCUGGAGAGGAAGCCACGGCUAACUACGUGCCAGCCGCCGCCGUAACAC
rnacentral:rRNA from 1 species